rnacentral:rRNA from 1 species
GAUUUCUGGUUUGAUGUACCUGUCCCGCCACGGUAACGUGUGUGAGUGACGGAGUAUGUCUGCCAUCCUUCUAGAGAAUGCAAGCUGGCCUUUACUGGUUUGGUUUGUAUCAUCUAGAUCUUUUACUUUGAAAAAAUUAGAGUGUUUAAAGCAGGCUUUUGCUAUGAAUACAUUAGCAUGGAAUAAUAAUCUAGGACUUCGGUUCUAUUUUGUUGGUUUCUAUAACUGAAGUAAUGAUUGAUAGGGAUAGUUGGGGGUGCUAGUAUUGGCCGGCCAGAGGUGAAAUUCUUGGAUUCGGUCAAGACUAACUUAUGCGAAAGCAUU